rnacentral:misc_RNA from 1 species
UUGAGUGAAGGGAUUCCCCUCGGGGAUCCCCAUCUCCCAACCCGUGUGUUCCUGAACCGAUUUUGCUUCGGCGGGCCCGUUACGUCUGUAACCGCCGAAGGGUCCAAGUCCACGGACUUGCCCUUGGGCCCGUGUCCGCCGGAGAUGAUUGAACGCUUGCUAUGAAUAAGGUGGUCUGAGUGAUUGAGAAAAUGAAAUCA